rnacentral:rRNA from 1 species
AUACGUAGGCAGCAAGCGUUGUUCGGAGUUACUGGGCGUAAAGGGUGCGUAGGCGGUUCUCUAAGUUUGGUGUGAAAUCUCCCGGCUCAACUGGGAGGGUGCGCCGAAAACUGGGGAGCUAGAGUGUGGGAGAGGUGAGUGGAAUUCCUGGUGUAGCGGUGAAAUGCGUAGAUAUCAGGAGGAACACCGGUGGUGUAGACGGCUCACUGGACCAUUACUGACGCUGAGGCACGAAAGCGUGGGUAGC